UUUCAGCAGCGUAUCGCUGAAGUUAGCGGCAGACGGGUGAGUAAUACUUGGGCAAUCUGCCCUUGAGAGGGAAACAACCUGCCGAAAGGUGGGCUAAUGUCCCGUAAGACCACAAGAUGGCAUCAUCUAGGGGUCAAAGCUCCGCAAGGGGCGCUCGAGGAGGAGCCUAAGUUCUAUCAUGGUAGUUGGCGGGGUAACGGCCCACCAAGCCUUUGACGGAUAGCCGGCCUGAAAGGGUGAUCGGCCACACUGGCACUGAGACACGGGCCAGACUCCUACGGGAGGCAGCAGUGGGGAAUUUUGGACAAUGGGGGAAACCCUGAUCCAGCGACGCCGCGUGAAGGACGAAGGUCUUCGGAUUGUAAACUUCUUUUACAGGGGAUGAAUGCCUUGGUGAAUAGCCAAGGGUGACAGUACUCUGUGAAUAAGCCACGGCUAACUACGUGCCAGCAGCCGCGGUAAUACGUAGGUGGCAAGCGUUACUCGGAAUCACUAGGCGUAAAGCGCAGGUAGGCGGUUGAAUAAGUCUAUUGUGAAAGCUCCCGGCUUAACUGGGAGAGGCCAAUGGAAACUAUUCGGCUAGAGUUUGGUAGGGGGUACUGGAAUUCCCGGUGUAGCGGUGAAAUGCGUAGAUAUCGGGAGGAACACCUAUGGCGAAAGCAGGUACCUGGGCCAUAACUGACGCUGAGCUGCGAAAGCUAGGGGAGCAAACAGGAUUAGAUACCCUGGUAGUCCUAGCCCUAAACGAUGUUCAUUAGAUGUGAGAGGUAUCGA
rnacentral:rRNA from 1 species